UACGUAGGGUGCAGGCGUUAAUCGGAAUUACUGGGCGUAAAGCGUGCGCAGGCGGUUUCUUAAGUCAGAUGUGAAAGCCCCGGGCUUAACCUGGGAACUGCGUUUGAAACUGGGAGACUAGAGUGUGGCAGAGGGGGGGUGGAAUUCCACGUGUAGCAGUGAAAUGCGUAGAUAUGUGGAGGAACACCGAUGGCGAAGGCAGCCCCCUGGGUUAACACUGACGCUCAUGCACGAAAGCGUGGGGAGCAAACAGG
rnacentral:rRNA from 1 species